UAGGGAAUCUUCGGCAAUGGACGAAAGUCUGACCGAGCAACGCCGCGUGAGUGAAGAAGGUUUUCGGAUCGUAAAACUCUGUUGUUAGAGAAGAACAAGGACGUUAGUAACUGCACGUCCCCUGACGGUAUCUAACCAGAAAGCCACGGCUAACUACGUGCCAGCAGCCGCGGUAAUACGUAGGUGGCAAGCGUUGUCCGGAUUUAUUGGGCGUAAAGCGAGCGCAGGCGGUUUCUUAAGUCUGAUGUGAAAGCCCCCGGCUCAACCGGGGAGGGUCAUUGGAAACUGGGGGACUUGAGUGCAGAAGAGGAGAGUGGAAUUCCAUGUGUAGCGGUGAAAUGCGUAGAUAUAUGGGGGAACACCAGUGGCGAAGGCGGCUCUCUGGUCUGUAACUGACGCUGAGGCUCGAAAGCGUGGGGAGCAAACAGG
rnacentral:rRNA from 1 species